UUUUAAGAGGACGAAUUGGAAUUUUUGGCGCCAAGGAUUUCAAUUUUUCUCAGUAAAUACAAAACGGAUCCAAAUACAACUUGGUUACCUGAAAGUUCAUGAUAUAAACCUUAUUUUGUUAGACGUAGAAACAUGAUUAGGUAACUUUUAUAACAGAGAAAAAUAUAUCAAACAUACCUCUUUUUAAAAAGAGAUUCACAUAUUAUGGGCAAACGGGACCGAUUUAAGCCUCUUAACUUUUUUAGUAGUUGAGUAUAUACAUACUCUUUAAAAUUGUAGAAGGAAUUUUUAUCAAAUUAUCAUUUCUAAAUAAUAAAAUUACAAAACCAUUUUGUCGCUUACGACUUUUAGUUAUAAGCUAGCGCACGUAUUGUUAUCCUCGCCCCGCUCAGACGCUCCGACCCCUUUUGGCGCCUUAGAUGCGCGUGCCGGUUAUGGAAUUAUUGUUGACCAAUUCCUCGCCUAUAUGGUACAGGGAUGGACACAGGCGUACGUUUUAUCGCCGCAGGAAACAAUACUACUACAAUAAGUCGUUUAACUGACUAAAAUAUGUAACAUAAUAUUGCAAUAUACAUAUUAUGUGUAACAAUUUCCUAAACAUAAUUUGUUUUGCUUUUAGAAAUCCUUACAGAACUGAAUGCCACUACACCACUCGAAGAAACGACACCACAAAACUAUGAAAUGCUUACACAAUUGAAUGCUACACCACCACCACCUGAAACUUGGAUACCACAAAACUAUGAUAUCCCUGAGCAGAUGAAUUACAGUAUUCCGGAUAGAGAGCCAAUAAUCUAUGGAUAUCCGAUGCAGCAGAAUGACACUUUUCCGAAUAGACACCAUGUCCAAGAACCAAUUAAUGUUGGUAAGACUCAUGUUCUAUAGACUUUUGU